GCGGACGGGUGGAGUAACACGUGGAUAACCUACCUAUAAGACUGGGAUAACUUCGGGAAACCGGAGCUAAUACCGGAUAAUAUUUUGAACCGCAUGGUUCAAAAGUGAAAGACGGUCUUGCUGUCACUUAUAGAUGGAUCCGCGCUGCAUUAGCUAGUUGGUAAGGUAACGGCUUACCAAGGCAACGAUGCAUAGCCGACCUGAGAGGGUGAUCGGCCACACUGGAACUGAGACACGGUCCAGACUCCUACGGGAGGCAGCAGUAGGGAAUCUUCCGCAAUGGGCGAAAGCCUGACGGAGCAACGCCGCGUGAGUGAUGAAGGUCUUCGGAUCGUAAAACUCUGUUAUUAGGGAAGAACAUAUGUGUAAGUAACUGUGCACAUCUUGACGGUACCUAAUCAGAAAGCCACGGCUAACUACGUGCCAGCAGCCGCGGUAAUACGUAGGUGGCAAGCGUUAUCCGGAAUUAUUGGGCGUAAAGCGCGCGUAGGCGGUUUUUUAAGUCUGAUGUGAAAGCCCACGGCUCAACCGUGGAGGGUCAUUGGAAACUGGAAAACUUGAGUGCAGAAGAGGAAAGUGGAAUUCCAUGUGUAGCGGUGAAAUGCGCAGAGAUAUGGAGGAACACCAGUGGCGAAGGCGACUUUCUGGUCUGUAACUGACGCUGAUGUGCGAAAGCGUGGGGAUCAAACAGGAUUAGAUACCCUGGUAGUCCACGCCGUAAACGAUGAGUGCUAAGUGUUAGGGGGUUUCCGCCCCUUAGUGCUGCAGCUAACGCAUUAAGCACUCCGCCUGGGGAGUACGACCGCAAGGUUGAAACUCAAAGGAAUUGACGGGGACCCGCACAAGCGGUGGAGCAUGUGGUUUAAUUCGAAGCAACGCGAAGAACCUUACCAAAUCUUGACAUCCUUUGACAACUCUAGAGAUAGAGCCUUCCCCUUCGGGGGACAAAGUGACAGGUGGUGCAUGGUUGUCGUCAGCUCGUGUCGUGAGAUGUUGGGUUAAGUCCCGCAACGAGCGCAACCCUAAGCUUAGUUGCCAUCAUUAAGUUGGGCACUCUAAGUUGACUGCCGGUGACAAACCGGAGGAAGGUGGGGAUGACGUCAAAUCAUCAUGCCCCUUAUGAUUUGGGCUACACACGUGCUACAAUGGACAAUACAAAGGGCAGCGAAACCGCGAGGUCAAGCAAAUCCCAUAAAGUUGUUCUCAGUUCGGAUUGUAGUCUGCAACUCGACUACAUGAAGCUGGAAUCGCUAGUAAUCGUAGAUCAGCAUGCUACGGUGAAUACGUUCCCGGGUCUUG
rnacentral:rRNA from 1 species